UUAAUGAAAUGGGCGAAGCCUGAUCCAGCAAUGCCGCGUGCAGGAUGAAGGCCCUCGGGUUGUAAACUAGCUUUUGUACGGAACGAAAAGCCUAGGGGCUAAUAUCCCCGGGUCAUGACGGUACCGUAAGAAUAAGCACCGGCUAACUACGUGCCAGCAGCCGCGGUAAUAUGA
rnacentral:rRNA from 1 species